rnacentral:sRNA from 1 species
GGUCGCAGCCAGGUGACAGCUGGGUCACUUCUCCCACUGUCACUGCUGCCUCCAUCUGACUUGAAACUCAGAGCUAAAGCGAGGCCCAGGGGCUGCCAGGUCCGAUGGCCAAUGGGCCUGGUACCUCUGCCCACAUCAGCCUGGCCUUGGGCCGUCUGGGACAGGGUCACCCACAUCUUGAACAUGGCCCGGGAGAUUGACAACUUCUACCCUGAGCGCUUCACCUACCACAAUGUGCGCCUCUGGGAUGAGGAGUCGGCCCAGCUGCUGCCACACUGGAAGGAGACGCACCGCUUCAUUGAGGCUGCAAGAGCACAGGGCACCCACGUGCUGGUCCACUGCAAGAUGGGCGUCAGCCGCUCGGCGGCCACAGUGCUGGCCUAUGCCAUGAAGCAGUAUGAAUGCAGCCUGGAGCAGGCCCUGCGCCACGUGCAGGAGCUCCGGCCCAUCGCCCGCCCCAACCCCGGCUUCCUGCGCCAGCUGCAGAUCUACCAGGGCAUCCUGACGGCCAGCCGCCAGAGCCAUGUCUGGGAGCAGAAAGUGGG